UAGGUCAGUAUUCGUGCUACGCA
rnacentral:siRNA from 1 species